ACGUGAUGGAGGGCGACCCUCAGGGAAGCAAAUACACAAGCCCUGUGACGGCAACGGAGUCUCGCACUUUCUGCUGAAUGCAAUUUCGAGAACCUCUUAGAUAACCGUCCCGGGUCUCCCGGAGCACCGCUUUUGGCCCGUCAGACUGGCUUCUGUAGAACACGAGAAACAGCCACUCGGACGAAUACGGCAUGGGAGGACAGUUUCUCCUUUGGCUGGAGUGUUUUCGACAGCUGGUCGGGCCUCUCCCCGAGUGGCGGACUGCUGCCAAGGGCGGUGGCGAGGAUGAGGCCGCUGUUGCCGUGGCAGCGCAGGCGGUCGCUCUCCCGCGCGAUGUCAGAUGCGUUCUGUAUGACGAGGUAGUCGUAAGUGCGUAG